ensembl:lncRNA
CAGCAUGUUUACCUUCCUCCACCUUUCUUUUCAGUUAGGGUUCAAAACAACAGGUUUGGUUUAUUUGUUCGUUGUUGCCUUCAGGCUUUUGAGCCUUAGAGAGGCAUAUUUUCAGCUUUACUCCAUGACAGCGCUGGCUGGAAGCCUCUCCACGUAUGCAGAGAGAGAGAGGCUGUCACAUGCGUUGGUGAUUUGCCAUGGGGAAGUCUGAGGCCAUCCCCAUCCCUUCAGCUUUGGGGUAGUUGGUAGAAGCUGAUCAUAGUGAGAGCGAGCUGCGCUGGCAUCACAAGGUAUGUGGGGAUCUGGGGAGGUGAGCAGGACUGGGAUUGUCCUCCUCAGAAACUCCAGUUACCUUCUGGUACCAGCUGUAACUCAGUGCAUCCCCAGAAUCGGUAACUGCUUCAGAUACAUCUCUUUCUUUUAGGUGCAAGCAAAGUAAUAGGUAGAAGCAGCCCAGCAGAAACAAGUAAUUUCUGAGAGAAGUCCUCAGAACUUGCCUCUGAGUCAUCUCCACGUUGGCAGGAGAAACUGGCAAAGAGGAAAAGUGUCUCUGCAGGUAAUGCUGCUGCAAAGGCCCAGAAUUAAGAGGCUCAGCCAAGUGAACACAUCCAGCCCCUAAGACAGACCUCGUCGUACUCUGAAGGAGCUGAAACAGAAAGCCGUUUUUACGGUUAUGAGGGAGCGCGAACCCUCCCAUGGGCCGAG